AUCCAAUUAUACUCAUGUACUGGUAACAACCUACCCUCUUCUUGUGUCAGUCUGCAAAUGCAGAAGCUGCAGGUCAUGGGGUCAAGCUGGAGAGGUCCGAAGGAGAUGAGGACCCACGGCACAGCAGAGACAUCCAGACUGGAGCAGCGCAUGGAGUGGCGCCCCCUGUAGCCACCGAGGACCUCACCGCCGCGUCCCAGGCCAGGACCCGAUGCAGCAUCACGGAGGAGGAGGGUCCAGAGGUGCUGCUGGUGAAGAAGGAGGGUCUGGCGCACCAUGGUCAUGGAGGACAACCAGACUACACUUCCUGAACCCACAGAGGAACCAGUUAAGCAGCACAGGACCACAUACAGUCUCACUGUGAACUACUGUGAACUACUCACUGUGAACCCACUGUGAACUACUGUGAACUACUCACUGUGAACCCACUGUGAACUACUGUCUUUAGAUAUUAGGUCAGGGCCCAUAUUCACAAAGCCUCUCCAAAGUAGGAGUGCUGAUUUAGGAUCAGUUUUGCCUUUUAAAUCAUAAUGAAUAAGAUUAUAUGGAAAGAUAUUCGAUCUCCACGUUUGCAUAGUAUCAAAUCAACUAACAUGUUUGCGUAGUACUCAUAGAAAUCCCUCAUUGCCCAAUCAGAAGAUGCUCCAUAGCAGGGUGCUCAUAUCAUAUUUCUUGAUCCAACAUCCUCUCACUCUGUAUCUCUUACAGUCAGUAGACAUGGAGGAUGGGAAGCCUGAUCUGCUGCUGGUCAAAGAGGAGACAAUAGAAGAUGGACAAGAGAGCAUUGACCUGCUGAGUGGACUAAAGAUGGGGGAGCAAGUCUGCAGUCCAUGAGGACCUGCUGAUAUCCGGUGUUGCUGGUGGGAGAGACUUGACCUCUGAAGCGGCUGGUCACAAAACCUGACCCCGGACCAGGACUCUGGAUCAGAAACCGUCCCUCUUCCUUCCUAAGUCAGAACCUGGACCGAAUCACGAGGGACAGAGACUUCACCACCACACAGAACACAACCAGUGGACAGGUGGACUGAACAACCUCAGUCCUGGUGGUCAUCAGAGAGACUGUGGCCCCACCCUGGGCUUCAGCCUUCACAGAGACUGGUGGUAGUCUAUCAGCAAGUCUGUCUUCUCCGACAGGGUCUUGUUUAAUGCUUGGUGACUGGGUUCAUAGAAAGUGAAGCUGGACCUAUGUCUAGCCUUCCUCUUUUACCUCAUGCUUACCCCACCAAUACAGACAUGGUCAGGUUGCACGUUCACCAGAAGAGGUGCAUAGCCUAUAACACAGCACACAAUCCAAACAACAUCCAGUCAAGGAGGGAGCUCAAAGACUAACCACCUGAACCACCUCUGGUGUUAUUGGGUCACAACAUGGGAGGCCGAGCAUUAGGACGGACGCCGACAAGCCACACGCCUGCCCCAUAUGUGGAAAGCGCUUCGCUGAGGCGAACUAUGUGAAGGACCACCAGACCUUUCACACCAAGGAGAGGCCCUUCAAUUGUAAACUGUGUUAAGGCGUCCGCAUGCUUCCCAGCCAAAACAGUUUGGAAGAGUUUGUACAUAUAUUAUGAGGCAAGCCGAAGUCUACGCCCCUUCGUUGGUGACUGGUCAACAGUAGAGCUUCUUCAUUAGUCUUUGUCAUUCAACGAGAGAAGACUAGUUGUCGUGCACAUUUUUUUCAUUGAGAUAUACAGCACCAAACAUCUUAGUUAGCUGUGAAAUUGCGCGACUAAGAUCUCGGCAAAAGCGUCCAAUUUAAUGACAGAUUUCUUGAGUUAUCUUAGAUUAACUAACUAUUUUGAGAUUGUAUACUGGCUACAGCGUCUCAAAAUGGACAAACAGUACUAUUGCCGUUUUUUUUCUAGUUUUUAAAGCGAAGGUCUUAAGGGAGUAUGCGAGCACACUUGUUCGGUUAGGCGCCACUCGAACUGAAGAAUGCUGACGCCUUUACAAGAGCUUCUCCUUCGGGAGUAACCUUAUCUGACACAGGGGUGUCCACAAUGGGGAGACAUUGUAGCAGUGUGGCUUGCGAUGUACACAGGGGUUUUCUGGGAACCAUUCUUUAGCUGAAUUAUUAUAGUUAUCAUGUGAAGUGUCUUGGGGUAAGAGGGUAAUUAACCACAUACCCCUCAUUAACCCUUAUUUACCUUACUGAGGUAAUUUAGAUGGAAAAAAUGAAUUAUAUUAUUUUCGACUGUAUUCUUGCUAACACACUUCUUUCAAAUCAAAUCAGCUCCGAGCUUGAAAAAUGGUGAUCAAAGGAGAUUUGAUGAACGUAAUAAGCUGUACCGUAAUUCAAAGAACAGUGCGCAAUACCUUUUUCAUUUAACCCCGCCCUUGAGCUAUGACGCCAACAAAUAAAAUGCUUUGUCUUCAGUGUAAUUACAUGUUUCUCUCCUGAAAACCCUGAGCAGUCGACAGAUGAACUCUCAGAAAUUGAACCUGAGGAAUGUGAAUAGGAAGAACCUGCGCCAACAGGUGAGGUGAAGGCUUCCAAGCCUCACCCAAAUUAUCAGGAAAAUGCCAGAGAUGACUUGGACCCAGUGGGAGAACAAUUCGUGGAGAGCAUGCUAGCAGAUACAGAGGCUUCCAGUCAUCGUGCUAAAGCUAGUUAGCAUUGGCUUGCAAAACUACUUUAAUUGCCUUCAUACUGGACACAGACAUAAAAAUGGUAUCCACUAGUUAAUCUGACUCUGGGGAAGUAGUAUCCUGAAGUAUCCCUUUAAUUGUACUGCACAGAUGGAAUGGAAAUCCCUGAAGAUUGAAUUGGUAGUAGCAGCAGAGAAGUUUAAAAUGUACUUUUUGGGUCACCAGCCACUGUCGGGUCGAGAAAAAAACUACCAGCCACUCAGAUUUAUUUUUACCAGUCAAAAUAUUUUGUAAUGUUUUUAAAACAAGAAAUGUAUUAGUAAGAAGUAAUGUGGCAUAUUGCUCAAUUUCAUAAAUUUGACUUCAGUCUUUUAACCAAAAUAUCAGAUGUGACAAAAUGUUCAGCUGCCUCUUUAAUGUUGGGAGGUUACGGUGGUAAUGGUCACUUGUGUCUGAGAUUUAGGAUCUGACUAGGGCGUCUCUUCGCUAUCAGUUCAAGCAGCAGACUCAAACUAGCGUUGAAAAACAACCGAGCUUAUGAACAAAACGAUGUGAACUGCCAAGAACAUGAGGACAAAGUCUCACUUUGUAGACUUUAGAGUAAAUUAGAUCAACUUUUGUGCCUGCGGAUAGCGCCUCCAAAAAUGAAUCUAUCAUAGCGCACAGCUCUAUUG
ensembl:lncRNA